rnacentral:rRNA from 1 species
UACGAACCGUGCGAACGUUAUUCGGAAUCACUGGGCUUAAAGCGCGUGUAGGCGGGAGGGCACGUCCGACGCUGAAAUCCCCCGGCUCAACCGGGGAACGGGCGCGGAUACGACCUUCCUGGAGGGACGUAGGGGGACCUGGAACUUCCGGUGGAGCGGUGAAAUGCGUUGAGAUCGGAAGGAACGCCCGUGGCGAAAGCGAGGUCCUGGACGUCUGCUGACGCUGAGACGCGAAAGCCAGGGGAGCGAACGGG